GACGAACGCUGGCGGCGUGCCUAAUACAUGCAAGUCGAACGCAGUGGGGACGGUUUAGUAACACGUGGGUAACCUCCCAUCAGAGGGGAGAACACUUGGAAACAGGUGCUAAACCGAUACUGAUGGAUGUACUCGCGGUGCAUUAGCUAGUUGGUGAGGUAACGGCUCACCAAGGCCACGAUGCAUAGCCGACCUGAGAGGGUGAUCGGCCACACUGGGACUGAGACACGGCCCAGACUCCUACGGGAGGCAGCAGUAGGGAAUAUUCGGCAAUGGGCGAAAGUCUGACGGAGCAACGCCGCGUGAAUGAAGAAGGUUUUCGGAUCGUAAAACUCUGUUGUUAGAGAAGCGGUAUCUAAACAGAAAGCAACGGCUAACUACGUGCCAGCAGCCGCGGUAAUAC
rnacentral:rRNA from 1 species